rnacentral:rRNA from 1 species
AGAGUUUGAUCAUGGCUCAGGAUGAACGCUAGCUACAGGCUUAACACAUGCAAGUCGAGGGGCAGCAUGUUGGUUGCUUGCAACCAAUGAUGGCGACCGGCGCACGGGUGAGUAACGCGUAUCCAACCUACCCUUGUCCGAUCGGAUAACCCGUCGAAAGGCGGCCUAACACGAUAUGCGGUUCUCAGCAGGCAUCUAACGAGAACGAAAUGUGAAGGAGAAGGAUGGGGAUGCGUCUGAUUAGCUUGGUUGGGCGGGGUAACGGCCACCAAGGCGACGAUCGAGGUAGGGGUUCUGGAGGACGGAAGGUCCCCCAGAUUGGAACUGAGACACGGUCCAAACUCCGUACGGGAGGCA